rnacentral:lncRNA from 1 species
CACAUGUGUGCCCACGCCCACAAGCACAGUGUCCUCCAUAGGUAACACAAAUGGGGAAGAAGUGGGGCCAUCUGUCUACUUGGAAAGGCUAAAGAUCCUCCGACAGCGAUGUGGUCUGGACAACACAAAGAUGACCGACCUCCUUUGACCUCUUUGCUCUCCAAACCAGCAGUUCCUACUGUCGCCUCUUCCACAGACAUGCUCCACAGCAAACUCUCUCAGCUCCGGGAGUCACGGGAGCAGCACCAGCAUUCAGACCUGGAUUCUAACCAGACUCACUCUUCAGGAACUGUGACCUCCUCCUCCUCCACAGCUAACAUAGACGACUUGAAAAAAAGACUGGAGAGAAUAAAGAGCAGUCGCAAAUGAAGCUGCCCCACUCCCCCGGCACCCUGCAGCUUUAGUUUACUAAACUAGAAGUCCUCAUAGUUUAAAAUGGCCUCAGCAGGCCUAGUGUAUACAAACUGGUUGUAUGUAUCAUGCCGUGGAGCUAGGGGGAGGAGUCAUUGUGGCACAAGUAUUUGUACAUACUCUGCUUCUCUCUGUCAGCGUCCUGCUGCUCUAGAAGACUGUCCGUGGAUGAGUUUAGUGUACAGACUUGUAAACAGCUGCCCCCUCUCUGCUCAGUCUAGUUCCCAGAUCCUUUUCUUUUCUUUUUAAUUGCUCAUUUGUAAAAUUGUCCUAAUCUUUCCUAGCUUUUUAAUAGUUAAUAUUAGAAACUCUUUAAUAGUUUUCCUUUCAGUUUGUGAGCUCUUCUCUGUCGCCCUGAAGGGUCACUGUAUUCUGUAUGAAUGCAUGGCAUGAUACAACUAAUUUAAGAGUCUUUUAUAAAUAAAGUUUGCAUUAACUAUACC